AGAGUUUGAUCAUGGCUCAGAUUGAACGCUGGCGGCAGGCUUAACACAUGCAAGUCGAGCGGGGGAAGGUAGCUUGCUACUGGACCUAGCGGCGGACGGGUGAGUAAUGCUUAGGAAUCUGCCUAUUAGUGGGGGACAACAUCUCGAAAGGGAUGCUAAUACCGCAUACGUCCUACGGGAGAAAGCAGGGGAUCUUCGGACCUUGCGCUAAUAGAUGAGCCUAAGUCGGAUUAGCUAGUUGGUGGGGUAAAGGCCUACCAAGGCGACGAUCUGUAGCGGGUCUGAGAGGAUGAUCCGCCACACUGGGACUGAGACACGGCCCAGACUCCUACGGGAGGCAGCAGUGGGGAAUAUUGGACAAUGGGGGGAACCCUGAUCCAGCCAUGCCGCGUGUGUGAAGAAGGCCUUAUGGUUGUAAAGCACUUUAAGCGAGGAGGAGGCUACUUUAGAUAAUACCUAGAGAUAGUGGACGUUACUCGCAGAAUAAGCACCGGCUAACUCUGUGCCAGCAGCCGCGGUAAUACAGAGGGUGCAAGCGUUAAUCGGAUUUACUGGGCGUAAAGCGCGCGUAGGCGGCUAAUUAAGUCAAAUGUGAAAUCCCCGAGCUUAACUUGGGAAUUGCAUUCGAUACUGGUUAGCUAGAGUGUGGGAGAGGAUGGUAGAAUUCCAGGUGUAGCGGUGAAAUGCGUAGAGAUCUGGAGGAAUACCGAUGGCGAAGGCAGCCAUCUGGCCUAACACUGACGCUGAGGUGCGAAAGCAUGGGGAGCAAACAGGAUUAGAUACCCUGGUAGUCCAUGCCGUAAACGAUGUCUACUAGCCGUUGGGGCCUUUGAGGCUUUAGUGGCGCAGCUAACGCGAUAAGUAGACCGCCUGGGGAGUACGGUCGCAAGACUAAAACUCAAAUGAAUUGACGGGGGCCCGCACA
rnacentral:rRNA from 1 species